UUAUACCUCGUACCUUUUUGCAUCAUGAUUUAACAAGUAUAACCAAGCAAAAAGCAUUUUAGUUUGGCCCCCCGAAACCAACGUGAGCUACUUCAAGACAACCUUUAGUUAGGGUAAACCCGUCUCUGUGGCAAAAGAGUGGGAAGAGCUUUGAGUAGCGGUGACAGACCAAUCGAACUUGGCAAUAGCUGGUUGCUUGAGAAACGAAUAGAAGUUCUGCCUCUUAUAUUCCCCUCUCAACCUCGGGGCAGAUUAUAUGUUCUACGAUAUUUGCCAGGGCAUCACAGAUAAAAUGAAAAUAAGAGAGUUAGUCAAAGGGGGUACAGCCCCUUUGACACAAGACACAACUUUUACAGGAGGGUAAAGAUCAUAAUUUUUAAGGUAACUGUGUUUUGGUGGGCCUGAAAGCAGCCAUCCCAUUAGAAAGCGUUAAAGCUCUAACACACACCUCCCCAUCGAUCCCGAUAAUAAAUCUUAACCCCCUCAAUACGUAUCAAGCCGUCCCAUAACUGCAUGGGAGUGACUAUGCUAAAAUGAAUAACUAGAGAGCCCCGACUCUCUCCUUGCACAGGUGUAAAUCGGAACGGACUCCCCACCGAAAUUUAACGGUCCCAAAUACAGAGGGCACUGAAGUAUAAACAACAAACAAGAAGACCACCCAAAAUAAUACCGUUAACCCCACACUGGUGUGCUUUAAAGGAAAGACCAAAAGGAAAAGAAGGAACUCGGCAAAAACCCCUAAGCCUCGCCUGUUUACCAAAAACAUCGCCUCUUGCUAACUACACAUAAGAGGUCCUGCCUGCCCUGUGACCCCCCAGUUUAACGGCCGCGGUAUUUUAACCGUGCGAAGGUAGCGCAAUCACUUGUCUCUUAAAUGAGGACCUGUAUGAAUGGCAUUUACGAGGGCUUAACUGUCUCCUUUCCCCGGUCAGUGAAAUUGAUCUUCCCGUGCAGAAGCGGGACUUCUAACAUAAGACGAGAAGACCCUAUGGAGCUUUAGACUAUACAACAGACCAUAAAAAACAACCUCCCUAAAAUAGGUAAUAAUUAUUGGACUACUGUUCCCCUGUCUUUGGUUGGGGCGACCACGGGGAAGAAAAAAACCCCCAUGUGGACCAGGAGCACAGUUACUUUUACUCCUACAACCAUGAGCCACAGCUCUAAUGCACAAAAUCUUUGACCAUUAGAUCCGGCAAAGCCGAUCAACGGACCAAGUUACCCUAGGGAUAACAGCGCAAUCCCCUUUAAGAGUCCAUAUCGACAAGGGGGUUUACGACCUCGAUGUUGGAUCAAGACAUCCUAAUGGUGCAGCCGCUAUUAAGGGUUCGUUUGUUCAACGAUUAAAGUCUU
rnacentral:rRNA from 1 species